rnacentral:lncRNA from 1 species
CAGUAUAAUUUUUGAGGACUCUCAAAAAAAUUCAAGAAAAGGCUUAAAGAAACUUAAUGAAUGGAAGGAAUACAGAGAGAAGUGGGAAGAACGGAGGAAACUUACCAAACAAAUUGGGUCCAGGAGCCCUGAAGAGACUUUAGUGAACUGGACAGCUAUUCCACAAGAGAACUGGAAAGAAUUUAAUUCUAUUCAGCUCAAGGAGAGAAGCAAAUUAUCAGGUGGAUGUGGAACAGCUUACACAAUCAAAGGGAAAUCUGGAAAACCAGGCCUCAUACACAACCCAGAACCAGUGGAUAGGCAAGAGCAAGAACCAAUAGGUAGCCUUGGGCUGCUAUCAUCAAGAUGCAUCAAUUGUCAUCAUUUUCAGUCUUUUUUUUUUUGGUCCCUCUGUGUCCAGAUUUAAAUUUUAGAAAUAGAGUAAGAAAUUAGCCCUGCUUGAGAUCCCAGCACCAUCAAGAGCACCAUUAAUCCCACCUGAAGGUGUGGGGCAGGAAAGACUAGUUCCUAUACAGUCGUAUAGAGAGGCUCCUCACAAAUAAGUGGGAAUAAGUUAUGGACAUCAAAAACAACAAAUAUCCAUACCACCUGUAUCACUGGAAAACUAACAUAUAUAAGGGCCAAUAAUUUCAGGCCAGGUACAUAAUUUGUUAAUGUCAGGGGUAGAGGGAUAACAUAGAUAGCACAUACAAAAUUAGAACUGCUCCAGAAGGACCUGUAAUCCUAAAACAUUACAGUUCUUUAAUUGUCUUAGAGAAUUCUUGAAGAAUUAUUUUGCUUUAAAUGCUUCAGUUAUUAAUUUUACUGAUGACUCUGCAAGACUCACAAUGAAACUGUAGCCAAGUAGCCAAGUGUUACCGAGAAUUAAAGCACACUGAUUCAUAAAGACAUUUUGGGGGUGUAUGCAAAAAAAAUGGUCAGGAAGAAACUAAAGCUUUUGUCUAAAUCAAAAGCAUUCAAUAAUCAAUAUCUAGAAAGGAGAACAGAAACCACUCUAAAUAUUUUAAGCAGAGAAGAAGGAUUUAAUGCAGAGGGUUGCAUUCAAGGGCAUUGGAAGGGCUAGGAGAACAAAAGGAAGAAAAAGAUGUAAAGGAGAGACCAGGAAAUAACUAAGGGCCCCACUCCCCACGGAGUUACAGGAGUGUGGCUGCUGUUGCUGCUGCCUGGAUGUUGCCCUUAUUGCGGUUGCUGGAACCACUGAUUGCCUUCACUUACCUGUCACUAUUACUGAUAAAGUCACCCCUCCUCCUGCCUUCUUACCUCCCUCAACUGCUUUCCAUGGUACCUCACUGGAAACCAGGUAGCAAGAGAGUGUCGGGGGUGAAGAUUUGGCUCAUCAGGGCCCCUAAGAUACAGUGGAAUAGGGAAAUGGUGCUGGUUACCAACAGACUAUAUCUGGCAUAGAACUGCCUAAACUGGACAUACAUACCUAGUUAGUGGAGAAAGCCUCCAAUAGCUCCCUAUUGUUCUUCAAAUGAAUAUCAUCAGGUCGACAUGGCCUCCAGGGCACCCCAUGACCUAGUUCUUGCCUACCUGUUUAGUCUUUCCCUACUUGCCUUUCUCAGAUUUACCGGAUUACUUUCAGUCACCAAAUUCAAUUUCACUUCCAAGGACUGUGCACAGCAUAUGUGUGAACUUGGAGCACUCCUAUCUUCCUCCAAUCCAGAAUCCCACUCCUCCAGUCAUCCCCUAUAUUCUCACUUGGCUAAUUUAGUUUAUUCUUCAGAUUUUAAUGUACAUGUUAGUCUUUCAGUGAAACAUUCCUUGAUAUCUUCUCACUUUCUCUCACCUAUUAGUGUAAAUUAACUAGUCCUGUUGUGUCUCUCAUCAAACAAUUUGCCACACAUUCAAUGCACCUAUUGCAAUCUGUAAUUGUAUACAUAGGUAUUAGUGUAUUAUUUAAGAACUCUAUUGCUAAUGUCUUAGGCUCCAUGAAUGAACUAACUGUAUCUACUUUGAUCAAUGCUGU